rnacentral:rRNA from 1 species
UACGGAGGGAGCUAGCGUUGUUCGGAAUUACUGGGCGUAAAGCGCACGUAGGCGGCUAUUCAAGUCGGGGGUGAAAGCCCGGGGGCUCAACCCCGGAACAGCCCUCGAAACUAGAUAGCUAGAAUCUUGGAGAGGCGAGUGGAAUUCCGAGUGUAGAGGUGAAAUUCGUAGAUAUUCGGAAGAACACCAGUGGCGAAGGCGACUCGCUGGACAAGUAUUGACGCUGAGGUGCGAAAGCGUGGGGAGCAAACAGG